GACGUUAUCGCGAAUAGUCGCACUGUUUACGCUCUGAUCAGUGCAUCGUGAAUACAGGUUUCGGGACAUUGUGCGAGCUAUUCCAAUCGAGCUCUCGAGACUUUGAAAUCCUCGGCACACAAAAGCAAAUCAGAAAAUGUUUCGUCCCAAACUAAAAUUAUCUUGGCUAUAUCCGAGAGCAUAUACGAAACUCCUGAGAAAGAAAUCAACAAAUACAAUUGAAAUUGCUUACACCGUGUACGACAAUGGUGCUGACACUGCCAAGCCACCCCUGAUGAUCCUCCACGCCAUGUUAGGGGCUAGAAUGCAAUGGGACCACCUGGCUAAGGCUAUCCAGGAGACGACUGGAAGGAAGGUGGUUACAGUAGACGCUCGUAACCACGGAGACAGUCCUCGGGCAACGGAGCAUUCUUAUAUCAACAUGGCCGAUGACGCUUUAGAUCUGGUACAGAAGUUGGGGAUGCAGAAGGUGUCGCUUCAUGGUCACAGCAUGGGCGCUAGAACGGCGAUGGCUAUGUCACUAUUGCGGCCAGACCUGGUAUCAAGUGUAUCAAUCAACGACAUGUCACCAAUCAGCACCGGCCUUCAGAUUCCAUUUGUUCUGAGAAUCCUCGACUGUAUGGCCGGUGUGAAGUUUAAACCAGGCAUGAAGACAGCUGACGCCAUUCAACUAGCCGACGAGAGCCUGAAAGCCAUAGUCCCCGAUGAAAAGCUGAGGGAAUACCUCCUAGGAAAUCUGAUCCAGUCAAAAGGCGUCACCACAUGGAAAGUCAGCAUUGAUGCGCUGAGGAGGAAUUUUGUGUCCAAACUAUACUCUUUUCCAUCCAGAUUGAAGGAUCUACAGUUUAAAGGACCCACACUGUUCAUAGGAGGUUCUCUGUCGACACAUAUUCCAAAGGAGGAUCUUCCUCUCAUCAAGGAGUACUUUCCGUCUGCUGAACUGGUGUACAUAGAGGGGGCCAACCAUUGGGUGCAUGUCGACAGACCAGAUCAGUUUCUGGAAACCCUGUGCAAGUUCUUGGAGGAGAACGAGUGAUGAAGGAGACUGAGAGAUAGAUAUAAUCUCAACUAGACCUAUUUGACCUGUCUCCUAACACCCAAAAUCCAGCAUCACACCACAUCAACAUACAUCCUCACUAACAGAAUAUUCUCACCAUAGACUAAGAAUCAAAACGAAAGUGAGGCAACUGACGCUAUGUUUUCCAGGCCAAAUUUUCGGGUAGACAAAAAGUAAAAGUGUUUGAUUUAAAUGAUUAACACUUGCGUUAAACAACGAUAAUACUAAGUGAGUCUAGUAAUAGGAAGCCAAUUUGGUCACAGGAAGACAACAAGCAAGAGGAUCUAAAUCACAAUAAAAGAAAAACAUCUAAAAUACAUAAAAAUGUAACAUAUUAUAAUUUAAACUAUAUAAAUAGUUAUACACAAAUAAAAUUUGAAAAACAAAAUUUUAAGAAUGAUGCAGGACUGAACCCAUGAACUCUGGCGUUCCAUGCCGAUGCUCUGAACCAGAAUGCCGGAGGUCGUGGGUUCACAUCCCACAUCAUUCAUAAAAUAUUGUUUUUCAAAUUUUAUUUGUGUAUUAAUCCUAGAAGUGAAGGUUAUUAGUUAUACAAUAAAAUGUAAUUAAUUAAACUGGCACAUAAAUAUAAUAAUUCUUGUGUUAAAUACAAA